rnacentral:rRNA from 1 species
GACGAACGCUGGCGGCGUGCUUAACACAUGCAAGUCGAACGGACAGACCCUGCGCUUGCGUCGCUUUCGAUUGGGGAGCGUGUGAGUAACACGCGAGUAACCCGCCCCUGACAUUCUGAUAACACUUCGAGACUCCGGCUAAAACCGCAUAGGAUCUCCUGCUGCACGUUGUUGGAAGGAUAGUUACGGCGGUUCGGGCUGGAAUCGAGGCAUAUCCGCUUGUUGGUGGGGUAGUGGCUGACCAAGGCUACGACGGGUAGCCGGCCUGAGAGGGUGACCGGCCACAUUGGGACUGAGGUACGGCCCAGACUCCUACGGGAGGCAGCAGUGGGGAAUAUUGCACAAUGGGCGGAAGCCUGAUGAAGCAACGCCGCGUGAGGGAUGACGGCCUUCGGGUUGUAAACCGCUUUCGCCAGUGACGAAGCGUGAGUGACGGUAAUGGGUAAAGAAGCACCGGCUAACUACGUG